GCUGAUAGUCCUACAUCUUGACUCUCAGCCAACAGGAAAUGAUCUGUCUCACUAGACAUGGCUUGAGCGUAUAGGAGACCUCAAAGCCCACCUCUACAGUGACACACUUCCUCCAACAAGGCCAC